rnacentral:rRNA from 1 species
GACAGAGGAUGCAAACGUUGCUCGGAUUUACUGGGCGUAAAGCGCGCGCAGGCGGUCCUGUAAGUCGAGUGUGAAAUCCCGGGGCUCAACCUCGGACGUGCACUCGAUACUGCGGGACUGGAGUACUGGAGAGGAGAGCGGAAUUCCCGGUGUAGAGGUGAAAUUCGUAGAUAUCGGGAGGAACACCAGUGGCGAAGGCGGCUCUCUGGACAGAUACUGACGCUGAGGCGCGGAAAGCGUGGGAAGCAAACAGG